CCAAGGCACCCCUUCUCUGUGGCCAUUUCUUGUCUCCAGGUCCCACCCAUCACCCGUUCUCUGAUCUCAGAUGAACAGAUGAACAUCAGUGGAGAGCGAUGCGGCGUCUCCACCCUUCAGCGUGAGAGGCAGUCUAACUUUGUGGGUUCAAGGAAUAACAUGGGGUAUGGGCUGCCCAAAGAGCCAGGUAGCCAAACUGGACUUCCAGGUGCCUUUGGGGAAGAACUCAGUGUCACUGGAGUUGUUAGGCUCCAGGACAAGGACCCUCUAGGAAGUUCCAUCGCACUGAGCGGAGUCUAGUGUGGUUUCAGGCCUCCUUUCCAGGCAACCAUGAGAAACACCCAGCAGCUGACCUAGGAAGCGGCUUCCAAUCUUCAUUUCUUGGCCUGAGGGAGAAAGAAAAGAAUCCCAGAAAAAGAGCCCAUGGCCCCUGAUGUGUGCAUCUGGAAUGGAGGUGAGAUGCGGUUCCAGGAAAGAUCUGGGAAGCCAAGCAUGAAUUACUUCCUAAAAAUAAAUAAA